CGCGGUGAAUACGUUCCCGGACCUUGUACACACCGUCCCGUCAAGCCAUGGAAGCUGGGUGUACCUAAAGUCGGUAACCGCAAGGAGCCGCCUAGGGUAAAACUAGUAACUGGGGCU
rnacentral:rRNA from 1 species